ensembl:lncRNA
UGAGAUCACUCCUUCUCAUGAAAAUUCCUGUAUUGUUUUGGUCUCAGGAAAAGACUUAUAGCUACAAGGAAAAGUGCAAAGGCAAAUGAGAGUGAACAAGGUCAAUCAGAAAUCCAUCUCCAAAGAUCCCAAUGUAUGAUGGCAACGCAGCCCUUCUUGAAGAGCCCCUCAUUCCCAUCCUGGGGCAUCUGAGUUCCUGAAGUGGGCACAGUGUUUACAGAGUCGGCAAUGGGAUGUGCAGCUUCGCAUCAUCUUAAGGCAGAUGGGAAAAAAAGGGUUCCAGUUCAACAACAGAUCACAUCUAUGGUGCCAGAAGGUGAGGGGGAUGAUUGCCACGCAGCACAGUCUAUGUCUUGUAGCACAUUUCACCUUCCAGAAUUAGAUUUGACCGUGCGUUAUUCUGUUGCAGUUGGGGCAGAUUUGUAGCGGGAUGGAUUAGUUCGUGAUCCAAUCUGUUCUGUUGGAGUGUAUCACUGGUGAGCAAAUCGUGUCACUGAUGCCAUCUCAGCGUUGCAGCCUCCUGUUGGCAUCGCUCAGCCAUCCCUGGCCACGGGGAUGGCUUCACCCGGCUCCCAGCUGCCAUGUACCAGCACACACUUCUCUCCCUGCUUGUGCCGUGAGCGCUUUGGCAUCAGCUGCUCCAAAUUAGAAAGUGAUGUUACGGGAAACUCAGUAACAGCACAGAAAUGCCAACGUAUCCUCUCUGCCGCCUCGUACUCUGCUUUGUUCAUCCAAAGAAUGUCUUAUACUGCACAACCACAUGGAGGGAUGAGCGCAGUGUUAUGGCUCCGGGAGGGGUGUGGUGCACCUCGAGCCCCAGACUAAAACACAGUGACAUGUAGGUGCUUCCUCUGUAUCACCUCCCUGGCAGAUCCCCUGGGGGACAAUUGAUCUGCCUUCCCUUGGGCCUCCUUAGGCUUCAUCUCACCUUUUGCUGUGGUUUGGGGUUAGCACUGUGGGUUGUAGGGCAUGCACCCAGCACAGGACCUUGGCAUCAGCAACUCAAGUCCCAUGGACCUGACUGAUCCUGUCUCUUGUUUCCAAACAGCAUUCACUUAUUUGUCUAAGCACCUUUUUGAAUGGUAGUCUCCCCAGAAAGGCGACAUUUUGUUCUUCUGGAUGCUGCCCACUGGAUGCUGCUCCACGGGCGGGUAAUUCCACCUGGGGGGUGGGGGGAAGCUGCUUCUGCCCGGCACUGAGCAAAGUCCCAUGCGCCCACGGUGGGCAGCAACAAUGGGUCCGCAGGAGGUGAGGAGAAGGGAAGAAUGAGCUGGGUUAGGGGAAAUACAGCCUGAAAGAAAAGGAAAGGGCCAGUGGAUCUGAAAGCCCCGAUAAAAGCCCGAGACAAAGGACAAAGGAGCCUGGGAGAUUACCAAAGGGAAGUGGGAGGAGGAGCAGAGAGAAUGAUGUCGAGUGGUACAGUAAUGAUGGGUCAAUGGUUGGACGAGAUGAUCUCCGGGGUCUUUUCCAGCUUUUAUGAUUCUGCAAGAGCUGUGUGGAGGUGGGAGAUCCCCGGGUAGGGCAGAGGGUGCUGAACGGCUCACUGCUCUCCAUAUAUAAGAACACAGCUUUUUCCCCUUUCUUGCUGGGAGCACCUGGCAAACUAAGGGACAGAUCCAGCAGGGAAACACGUCUGUGUCCAUCUGUAGCCCCACGUCUGCUUGCACACCCACAACAGCCUCUCUGGGUCCCCAUCCCCAAGCACACAGAACUACGGAGAUGGCAGGCAGGGAGUCGGGCUGGGCAUCCAGCACCCUGCUGCUGGAGGAAGUGUCACACUGCUGCUGUUCGCCUGCUUAUUUUCUUCUAAUAAAAAGGUGGGCAUGACUCACUCCAUUAAGAAACAAAAGCAAAGCUGUAAUCUGCUGAAAGGCGGUUGUUUGGAGGCUCCGUGUUAGGUGUGAGAAGGGAGGAAGGUCAGCUGCAGGUCACAUCCCGUGAUACACAUACACCCCGUUGUCACUUCAGGUCCAACACCAGAGCUCUUCCCCAGGGAGUUGAGUUUCUGAGCUGUAACAUUUGCCCCCUCUUUCAGACCGAGGCUGGGGAGAGAAUCUUUCCCUCCCACCCCUUCCCGUGCCACUGUGGUUUUCUGGGAGGAAAUGAUGCUCACUGCCACCGUGCCAGCCCCCUCCUUCCUCUGGAGAGGGAGAAGCGCUCACAUUGCCCUCAGCCCCUCCAUGCGGCGGGACCACCGAGCAGCUGGGCUGUACUGGGGGACCCGGGGGGAGCGGGACUGGCUUUCCGUCGGGGUGGCAGGAGCAGGGCUGAGGGCAGGAAGCAGGCUGUGCUCACGCUGUGCCGGAGGUUCUUCCCGCGUGACCGGGAGCAGAAGCCCCCAGCUAUUAAUCAUAGGGUGAUCACGGAGGGGACGGCGUGGGGUCACGCUGACGGCAGCACCCACACUGGGACCAACACCUGCAACCACCCACCAGCUGUCUGGUGUUGUUCCAUCCGACACCCACUGACGUAGAGCAGAGGGGUCGGGUGGACCCAUCUGGGGGCU